AUGACGACACUGGGUCGACCCUCAUAUUCUUCAUCCUUGUUCCUCUGUUUCCUUGUGCUGGCUGCAUUGCACCCAGCCUCCGGUGGUGGUGGUGGUGGAGGUGAUUCUCCUAGGCAGACGCAGCCGUCUGUAGAUAAUCCUAGGCAGGAGCCUGUAGAUAAUCCUAGGCAGGAGCCUGUAGAUCAGACGACCACACCAGCUACUCAGGUCAGUGGUGCAACUGCUCCUCCGCCGCACUCUGUAGAUCAGGCGACCACACCAGCUACUCAGUUCGGUGGUACAACUGCUCCUCCGCCGCACUCUGUAGAUCAGGCGACCACACCAGCUACUCCGUUCGGUGGUGCUACUGCUCCUCCGCCGCAAUCCGUUGAUCAGUCGGAUGGCAAAGGUUCUCCAACGAUUGGCGUGGUUGGUGCUGUAGUUGGUGUAAUUGUGUUGGCUUGUUUAGCAGGCUUGACUUGGUAUGUGCUAUAUCGACGGAACCACCCUAACACAAUAGGUCAUGUUCUGAAGUUCAGUUACCACGACUUGAUGUCUGCAACAAAUAGCUUCGCACAGAACCGAAAGCUUGGAGAGGGCGCCUUUGGCGCUGUCUAUAAAGGUACAUUGAUGCUGAAGGACAAAAAUGGAAAUCAAGAAGAAGUGUACGUGGCUAUAAAAAAAAAUACGUAUACUGCGUCAGAUGAUGCGAAGGCUGCCUUUCAUAAAGAGGUUGAAAUUAUGAGCCCGCUGAGCCAUCGCAACAUCAUACGUCUUGUGGGCUGGUGCGACGAAAGGAACAGUCUCCUGCUUGUCUAUGAACUAGUGGAGGAUCGCAACCUUCAGGCUCGGCUUUAUGGCCAUGGUGCUCGGGUGGAUUCGGAACUUUCCGGUGCAAGGGCUCCAGGUUCAAGUCUUGAUCUAGAUUGGCACAGAAGGUACAACAUACUGCAUGGAAUAGCCUCGGGUCUUGAAUACCUCCAUAAUAAUUGUGAAAAGGCCGUCAUGCAUAGGGACAUCAAGCCAGGUAAUGUGAUGUUGGAUAGGGACUCCAAUGCUAAACUGUGUGACUUCGGGCUGGUGACGCAACUCACCCAUGCCAUAACCUCACGCUCGACGAGCAACAUAAUUGGAACACAAGGCUACAUGGACCCAGCAUACCAGAGCACCGGCAAAGUAACUAGGGCGUCUGAUGUCUACAGCUUCGGUGUGCUAUUGCUUGAGGUUGUGUGUGGUGAGGAGCCAAUCCUGACUGGCAAUCCCCUGAAAAACAGCCUCGUUGAGAAGGUCCGGGAAUGCUAUGAGAGAGAUGCAAUUCUCGAUGCAGCUGACCAACGGCUGAGGGGCAAUUCUGAUGAGGAAAUUAGAGGUGCAUUGUUGACCGGUCUGCGUUGUGUCGAAAAAAGCCGUGGCGAUCGUCCAACUAUGCAAAUUGUGUUGGCUGAGUUAGUAAGCAUUGCGGCUAAAUCAACUUGGUAUAACCGUCUUGCAAGCGCAGUGGGUGCUGAGGUGUGA
rnacentral:rRNA from 1 species